rnacentral:sRNA from 1 species
CCCAGAUCCCCCUCUUGGGGCGUUCCUCCCCUGAAAAUGACUGAGCCCCGCCAGGACACUGGCGGGGCUUUUUUCUGUGGUCA